UACUGCUGCCCCGCCUAUUUUUUUUCAUCAAAAGUUAAACUUCCCACUUAUUUUUUUCCCAAACAUAUUCGCACUUUGGCCUCUAUUUUACAGUUGACCUCUUUCUUCUCUACUCUCUCUCUCUCUCUCGCUCUCUGCAUCUCUUGAUCUCUUCCUCGUCGAACAAAUUGGAGCUCUGAUUCCUUAGCUCUGAGCAAAACAAAUCUCACCACAGCUGGGUACUUCUCUCUCCUCCUCUAUCUGUCUAUAUCUUUUUCUUCUCGCCAGAUCUAUAUGCUCCAUCCAGAUCAUAACGUGACGGUGGCUUUCUCCUAUAUCCAUAUUGGAAUUAGAUGAUGCCAAGCCCAAACCUCAAGGUCAAAAAUCCUCUCAGCAAUGCCGCCACCGUUGUCUCUCUCCAAAUCCCCAACCUCGCCGCUAUCCCUAGACGCCUCCGACCCCGUCCGCGAUGCCAUUGAGGAGCUCCAGCGCCACCAGCGCACCAAUGUUGUGCGAUUGAGAACCUCUGUCGGAGCUUUCUGCUAACAUAUGGUGUCAGAGUUGGAACUGAGAUUUUGCUUCGCAUGUUUAAGCUGUCACGCAGACAGUCCUACUCUUCCUUGCUCGAUCUUAAGUGCAAUCUGCAACAAGGGAUGGAGGGAAAUCCUAUUGCUGAAAUCAUCCAA